AAUGAACGCUGGCGGCGUGCCUAACACAUGCAAGUCGGAUGUGCCGCAAGGUGCAUGGCAGACGGGUGAGUAACGCGUGGGGAACCUACCUCUUCGUGGGGAAUAACGAUCCGAAAGGAUUGGUAAUACCGCAUGAGACCGACGGCUGGGAUGCUGUCGGUGAAAGCUGGGGACCGGAAACGGCCUGGCGCGAGGAGAGGGUCCUGCGUCUGAUUAGCUAGUUGGUGGGGUAACGGCCUACCAAGGCAUCGAUCAGUAGCCGGCCUGAGAGGGUGAUCGGCCACACUGGAACUGAGACACGGUCCAGACUCCUACGGGAGGCAGCAGUGGGGAAUUUUGCGCAAUGGACGAAAGUCUGACGCAGCAACGCCGCGUGGGUGAUGAAGGUCUUCGGAUUGUAAAACCCUAGUCGUCGGGGGACGAAGGUAGGGGGGUUAAGUAGGACCCUUUUGGCUUGACGGUACCCGGAGAGGAAGCCCGGCGUAACUCUGUGCCAGCAGCCGCGGUAAU
rnacentral:rRNA from 1 species